ACAGAAAUUCAAACUAGUUUAUAACACGUGGAGUAAAUAGUGGCAAAAUAGUAAACUAUUCCUUUUAAAUAUUUUAUUCUGAGACUUUUAUUUAUAUGUGUCUUGUCUUUUGUCAUAUUGUCCUUCUAGCCCAGAUUGUGAUGGACCUGGAAUGCGACACCAGUUACUCUUAAGACAAGAACCGAAUAAAGCACAGAUGUGGAGGGAUUUGCAGCCAAACUAACUGGAGGGAAGGAACCUUUAGUGUGGGUGAACAUACUACCUGGAUGUCCAACAAAGGCUGCACAAGAGCUCAUUUGAUAGCACAUAUUCUGUCCUGUCUACAUCUCGGAUGACCUGGAAGUGCUUCGACAUCAGAUCAUCAUCAUGUUGCUGCCCUUUUUCACUGUCCCUUUCCACAUCAUUUGGCCUUCAUCAUUUCCUGUCUUGUAGCAGUAUUCUCACCUUUUUUAAAAUUGUAAUAAUUUUUGAUGCAUUAAUUGUUGACUGGUUUUAAUGAUCAAUUGUUUAUUAGUGUUCUGUUGCUCUGUUAUAUUGAAUUAUUGCUACUGUUUUAGCAUGGUUUACACAAUAAACCUUUAUUGUGAAGUUAAAAGUUUCAGUUUCUUUAUUUUUUUUGUACGUCUUGAACAGUUAAAAAAACACUUGUGCAAUUUUUGAACAUUUUUACCCAUUAUAAAGUAGCACUAUUAAAUAAAAUAAAAUAACAUUUAAUAACUGUAAAAUACUAUACAGUAACAAUGAAAGUAAC
ensembl:processed_transcript